AGCAGCCGCGGUAAUUCCAGCUCCAAUAGCGUAUAUUAAAGUUGUUGCAGUUAAAAAGCUCGUAGUUGAAUUUCGGGAUCAAUACGUCGGUCGUGCUUCGGUACGUACUGGCGUCAUUGAUUUCUCCCUUCUGACGAACCAUGAUGUCAUUAACUUGGUGUCAUGGGAAAUCAGGACUGUUACUUUGAAAAAAUUAGAGUGUUUAAAGCAGGCUCACGCUUGAAUACAUUAGCAUGGAAUAAUGAAAUAGGACGUUCGAUCCUAUUUUGUUGGUUUUUAGGAUCAACGUAAUGAUUAAUAGGGAUAGUUGGGGGCAUUAGUAUUCAAUUGUCAGAGGUGAAAUUCUUGGAUUUAUUGAAGACUAACUACUGCGAAAGCAUUUGCCAAGGAUGUUUUCAUUAAUCAAGAACGAAAGUUAGGGGAUCGAAGACGAUCAGAUACCGUCGUAGUCUUAACCAUAAACUAUGCCGACUAGGGAUCGGAUGAUGUUAAUUUUUUAAUGACUCA
rnacentral:rRNA from 1 species